CAGCCAGUGGCGGAGCGGUCCAACGCAUCGCCGUAUCAAGGGACAAUUGCGGGUUCGAAUCCCGUCUUGUUGA
rnacentral:tRNA from 1 species